AUUGAACGCUGGCGGCAGGCCUAACACAUGCAAGUCGAACGGUAACAGGAAGCAGCUUGCUGCUUUGCUGACGAGUGGCGGACGGGUGAGUAAUGUCUGGGAAACUGCCUGAUGGAGGGGGAUAACUACUGGAAACGGUAGCUAAUACCGCAUAACGUCGCAAGACCAAAGAGGGGGACCUUCGGGCCUCUUGCCAUCGGAUGUGCCCAGAUGGGAUUAGCUAGUAGGUGGGGUAACGGCUCACCUAGGCGACGAUCCCUAGCUGGUCUGAGAGGAUGACCAGCCACACUGGAACUGAGACACGGUCCAAACUCCUACGGGAGGCAGCAGUGGGGAAUAUUGCACAAUGGGCGCAAGCCUGAUGCAGCCAUGCCGCGUGUAUGAAGAAGGCCUUCGGGUUGUAAAGUACUUUCAGCGGGGAGGAAGGGAGUAAAGUUAAUACCUUUGCUCAUUGACGUUACCCGCAGAAGAAGCACCGGCUAACUCCGUG
rnacentral:rRNA from 1 species